UGAAGCUGGAUUCGCUAGUAAUCGCGCAUCAGCCAUGGCGCGGUGAAUACGUUCCCGGGCCUUGUACACACCGCCCGUCAAGCCAUGGGAGCCGGGGGUGCUUGAAGUGCGUCGCCGCAAGGCGCGCCCUAGAGCAAAACCGGUGACUGGGGCUAAGUCGUAACAAGGUAAC
rnacentral:rRNA from 1 species